UACAGAGGUCUCAAGCGUUGUUCGGAUUCAUUGGGCGUAAAGGGUGCGUAGGCGGCGCGGUAAGUCGGGUGUGAAAUCUCGGAGCUUAACUCCGAAACUGCAUUCGAUACUGCCGUGCUUGAGGACUUGGAGAGGAGACUGGAAUUUACGGUGUAGCGGUGAAAUGCGUAGAUAUCGUAAGGAAGACCAGUGGCGAAGGCGGGUCUCUGGACAGUUCCUGACGCUGAGGCACGAAGGCCAGGGGAGCAAACGGG
rnacentral:rRNA from 1 species